AACGAACGCUGGCGGCAGGCCUAACACAUGCAAGUCGAGCGAGGACUUCGGUCCUAGCGGCGGACGGGUGAGUAACGCGUGGGAACGUGCCCUUUGCUACGGAAUAGCCCCGGGAAACUGGGAGUAAUACCGUAUGUGCCCGAGAGGGGAAAGAUUUAUCGGCAAAGGAUCGGCCCGCGUUGGAUUAGGUAGUUGGUGGGGUAAUGGCCUACCAAGCCGACGAUCCAUAGCUGGUUUGAGAGGAUGAUCAGCCACACUGGGACUGAGACACGGCCCAGACUCCUACGGGAGGCAGCAGUGGGGAAUCUUAGACAAUGGGGGAAACCCUGAUCUAGCCAUGCCGCGUGAGCGAUGAAGGCCUUAGGGUUGUAAAGCUCUUUCAGUGGGGAAGAUAAUGACGGUACCCACAGAAGAAGCCCCGGCUAACUCCGUGCCAGCCGCCGCCGUAAAAC
rnacentral:rRNA from 1 species